GCUAGGCCUGGUGGCGCGUGCCUGUAGUCCCAGCUGAGGAGGCUGGGCUGGGAGGAUCACUUGAGCCCAGGAGUUCUGGGCUGUAGUGUGCUAUGCUGAUUGGGUGUUCGCACUAAGUUUGGCAUCAAUAUGGUGACCUCCCGGGAGCGGGGGACCACCAGGUUGCCUAAGGAGGGGUGAACCGGCCCAGGUCGGAGACAGAGCUGGUCAAAACUCCCGUGCUGAUCAGUAGUGGGAUCGCACCUGUGAAUAGCCAGUGCACUCCAGCCUGGGCAAUGUAGCGAGAUCCUGUCUCU
rnacentral:SRP_RNA from 1 species